rnacentral:rRNA from 1 species
UGCGGAUAGGGGUGAAAGGCCAAUCAAACCCGGAGAUAUCUCGUUCUCCCCGAAAUAGCUUUAGGGCUAGCGUCGCGCGUUCACCGCCGGAGGUAGAGCACCGGAUGGACGAGGGGGCUUCGCCGCCUACCGAAUCCAACCGAACUCCGAAUGCCGGCGGCCCAGAGCGCGGCAGUCAGAGCAUGUGGGCUAAGCUGUGUGCUCGAGAGGGAAACAGCCCGGACCGCCCGCUAAGGUCCCCAAGUUCCAGCCGAGUGGCAAAGGAUGUGCGUCCGCCCAGACAACCAGGAUGUUGGCUUAGAAGCAGCCAUGCAUUCAAAGAGUGCGUAACAGCUCACUGGUCGAGUGGACAUGCGCCGACAAUACACGGGGCUAAGCUGGACACCGAAGCGGCGGGAUUUUAAUUCAUUAGAAUCGGUAGGGGAGCUUCCCAUGGGCGGAGAAGCCGGAGGGCGACCGACGGUGGAGCGCAUGGGAGUGAGAAUGCUGGCAUGAGUAGCGAGAGACGAGAGAGUAACUCGUCCGCCGUGAACCCGAGGUUUCCUGGGCAAGGCUAAUCCUCCCAGGGUCAGUCGGGGGCUAAGGCGAGGCCGGGAGGCGUAGCCGACGCGCAGCAGGCAGACAUUCCUGCACCGCGCACGCGGCGCUACGACCGACGGGGCGACGGAUGGGGGUGGCUCGGCGGGGUUCUGGACGUCCCCGUGAUGGAGCGCGGCCCGCGGACCAGGGAAAUCCGGUCCGCAUCAAGGGCGAGGCUCCGGACGAAGCGACUGAGCGAAGCGAGUGAGCCCGAGGUCCCUAGAAAAACCCCUAGGCAGGCGCGUGCGCGCCCGUACCGCAAACCGACACAGGUGGGUGGGUAGAACAUACCGAGGCGAUCGGGUCAACCAUGGUCAAGGAACUCGGCACAAUGGCCCCGUAACUUCGGGAGAAGGGGUGCCCGCGCGUACGUGAACCGGCUUGCCCGGGGAGCGGAGGCGGGCCGCAGUGGAGAGGCCCAAGCGACUGUUUACCAAAAACACAGGACUCUGCAGAAGCCGCAAGGCGACGUAUAGGGUCUGACGCCUGCCCGGUGCCGGAAGGUCACGCGGAGGAGUUAGCCGUUAAGGCGAAGCCCCGAAGCCAAGCCCCGGUAAACGGCGGCCGUAACUAUAACGGUCCUAAGGUAGCGAAAUUCCUUGUCGGGUAAGUUCCGACCUGCACGAAAGGCGCAACGACUUGGGCGCUGUCUCGACCAUGGACCCGGUGAAAUUGCACUGGUCGUGAAGAUGCGACUUACCCGCGGAAGGACGGAAAGACCCCGUGAACCUUCACUGCAGCUUGGCAUUGGCCGCUGGUCCCGCGUGUAGAGGAUAGGCAGGAGGCAUCGAUCCGGAGGCGCCAGCCCCCGGGGAGCCGCCCUUGGAAUACUGCCCUCGCGCGACCGGCGUCCUAACCCGAGGCCGUCAACCGGCUCGGGGACCGUGCCAGGCGGGCAGUUUGACUGGGGCGGUCGCCUCCUAAAGGGUAACGGAGGCGCGCGAAGGUCCGCUCGGGACGGUCGGCAACCGUCCUUUUGAAUGCAAGAGUACAAGCGGGCUUGACUGCGAGGCCCACAAGCCGAGCAGGUGCGAAAGCAGGCUCUAGUGAUCCGGCGGCCCCGAGUGGGUGGGCCGUCGCUCAACGGAUAAAAGGUACUCCGGGGAUAACAGGCUGAUCUUGCCCAAGAGUCCACAUCGACGGCAAGGUUUGGCACCUCGAUGUCGGCUCAUCGCAUCCUGGGGCUGGAGCAGGUCCCAAGGGUACGGCUGUUCGCCGUUUAAAGCGGUACGCGAGCUGGGUUCAGAACGUCGUGAGACAGUUCGGUCCCUAUCCUCCGUGGGCGCAGGAGAAUCGAUGGAGGCUGCCCCCAGUACGAGAGGACCGGGGUGGACGCACCUCCGGUGAACCGGUUGUCGACCAACGGCACGGCCGGGUAGCCGCGUGCGGCGCGGAUAACCGCUGAAGGCAUCUAAGCGGGAAGCCGUUCCAGGGAUUAGUUCUCCUUCCGGUAAGGGCCCAGGUAGACUACCUGGUCGAUAGACGGCAGGUGCAAGGACGGCGACGUCCUCAGCCGAGCCGCACUAAUCGCCCGAGCUCUUCCGGAA